CUACUGAAUCAACAUUUCAGUCAGGGAUCCACAGGCUGAAUUGUUUUUGGAGAACUGCUGGGCAACCUAUUCUGCUGACAGGAAUAGCUCUCCCAAGUGGGAUGUUGUUUUGGACAGCUGUGAGAACUCUGCAGAUGAGUACUUGACCAUCUUUCACCCAGUCUCCAGCAAUGCAAGAGUGCUGUUCCCUUCCCAUGUGAAGAGGUUUGAAGUGAAAAUGUUUUCCUUCACAAGCGGCCGGGAUGCACUGAAAGGACAGAUUUACUUCCACUGCAGUGUUGUGAUAUGUGAUUCAAACCAGCCAUCAGACAGCCUCUGUAGCAGACGGUGCAUUCCAGGGAAACAGAGGCUUGGUCGCACUGCUGAAGGGAUGGAUGGUGGUGCAGUAAAGGCAUUUGUGUCUUCUGGCCCAAUUGAGCUGAAGAGAGAUGGAUCCCUUCACUUUAUGCCUAG